rnacentral:rRNA from 1 species
UACGUAGGGUGCAAGCGUUAAUCGGAAUUACUGGGCGUAAAGCGUGCGCAGGCGGUUAUGUAAGACAGAUGUGAAAUCCCCGGGCUCAACCUGGGAACUGCAUUUGUGACUGCAUAGCUAGAGUACGGUAGAGGGGAUGGAAUUCCGCGUGUAGCAGUGAAAUGCGUAGAUAUGUGGAGGAACACCGAUGGCGAAGGCAGCCCCCUGGGAUAACACUGACGCUCAGGCACGAAAGCGUGGGGAGCAAACAGG